rfam:Gossypium raimondii chromosome 11, whole genome shotgun sequence.
AAUCCGUGGUGCGGCCAUUUUUGAAUCAAAGUUUUGAACCAUUCCCGUGCCUCAUAGAAACCUUCUCCCACCAUCUAUCUUAAAACAACAAUCUCUCUUCUUAGUUG